AGCAGUCGCCGCGGGAAUACGAAGGGUGCAAGCGUUACUCGGAAUUACUGGGCGUAAAGCGUGCGUAGGUGGUGGUUUAAGUCCGUUGUGAAAGCCCUGGGCUCAACCUGGGAAUUGCAGUGGAUACUGGAUCACUAGAGUGUGGUAGAGGAUAGUGGAAUUUCCGGUGUAGCAGUGAAAUGCGUAGAGAUCGGAAGGAACAUCUGUGGCGAAGGCGACUAUCUGGGCCAACACUGACACUGAGGCACGAAAGCGUGGGGAGCAAACAGGAUUAGAUACCCCCGUAGUCCCUGUCUCUUAUAA
rnacentral:rRNA from 1 species